UACGUAGGUGGCGAGCGUUGUCUGGAUUUACUGGGCGUAAAGGGAGCGUAGGCGGACUUUUAAGUGAGAUGUGAAAUACCCGGGCUCAACUUGGGUGCUGCAUUUCAAACUGGAAGUCUAGAGUGCAGGAGAGGAGAAUGGAAUUCCUAGUGUAGCGGUGAAAUGCGUAGAGAUUAGGAAGAACACCAGUGGCGAAGGCGAUUCUCUGGACUGUAACUGACGCUGAGGCUCGAAAGCGUGGGGAGCAAACAGGAUUAGAUA
rnacentral:rRNA from 1 species